rnacentral:rRNA from 1 species
GACGAACGCUGGCGGCGUGCCUAACACAUGCAAGUCGAACGGAAAGGCCCUGCUUGCCGGGUACUCGAGUGGCCAACGGGUGAGUAACACGUGGGUGGUCUGCCCUCCAAUUAGGGUUAAGUAAGGUCAAGUGGGCGUAAUAACGGCCAGGAAAUAUAUUUAGUGUGGUGGUUGGAAAGUUUUCUCGGUGUAGGAUGAGCUCGCGGCCUAUCAGCUUGUUGGAGGGGUUAGGGCCUAACAAGGCGGCGACGGGUAGCCGGCCUGAGAGGAUGUACGGCCACAUUCAGACUGAGACACGACCCAGACGCCGACGAGAGGCAGCAGUGGGGAAUAUCGCACAAUGGGCACGAGCCUGAUGCAGCGACGCCGCGUGGGUGAUGAAGGCCUGCGAGUUGUAAACUCCUUUCGCUAGAGAAGAAGCGUUGUUGUGACGGUUCCUAGAUAAGAAGCCCCGGCUAACUACGUU